GACGAACGCUGGCGGCGUGCUUAACACAUGCAAGUCGAACGGUAAGGCCCUUCGGGGUACACGAGUGGCGAACGGGUGAGUAACACGUGGGUGAUCUGCCCUGCACUUCGGGAUAAGCCUGGGAAACUGGGUCUAAUACCGGCUAGGACUCCUGGCUUCAUGGUUGGGGGUGGAAAGCUUUUGCGGUGUGGGAUGGGCCCGCGGCCUAUCAGCUUGUUGGUGGGGUAAUGGCCUACCAAGGCGACGACGGGUAGCCGGCCUGAGAGGGUGACCGGUCACACUGGGACUGAGAUACGGCCCAGACUCCUACGGGAGGCAGCAGUGGGGAAUGUUGCACAAUGGGCGCAAGCCUGAUGCAGCGACGCCGCGUGAGGGAUGACGGCCUUCGGGUUGUAAACCUCUUUCAGCUAUGACGAAGCGCAAGUGACGGUAGUAGCAGAAGAAGGACCGGCCAACUACGUGCCAGCCGCCGCAGUAA
rnacentral:rRNA from 1 species